GGGCUGCACAUGUGACUGGUAC
rnacentral:piRNA from 1 species